GAUGAAGAACGUAGCGAAAUGCGAUAAGUAAUGUGAAUUGCAGAAUUCCGUGAAUCAUCGAAUCUUUGAACGCACAUUGCGCCCCCUGGCAUUCCGGGGGGCAUGCCUGUCCGAGCGUCAUUUCUGCCCUCCAGCCCGGCUGGGUGUUGGGCGCUGUCCCCCCGGGGACACGCCCCAAAGGCAGAGGCGGCGCCGCGUCGGGUCCUCGAGCGUAUGGGGCUUUGUCACCCGCUCGGGACGGACUCGUCGGCGCUGGUCUUCCUCCAGGCGACCCUUCGGGGCUCGUCUUCCUUCGGUUGACCUCGGAUCAGGUAGGGUUACCCGCUGAACUUAAGCAUAUCAAUAAGCGGAGGA
rnacentral:misc_RNA from 1 species